UGAGAGUAGCUCAUUCGGUAGAGCAUGAGACUAUUAAUCUCAGGAUCGUGGGUUUGAGCUCCACACUGGGCAAAA